ACGAGCACGCGCGUGUGGCAUAUCAAUAAGCGGAGGAAAAGAAACUAACAAGGAUUCCCUUAGUAACGGCGAGUGAAGCGGGAAGAGCUCAAAUUUGAAAUCUUCAAGGUUCUACCUUGACGAAUUGUAGUUUAUAGAAGUGUUUUCUGUUAGUGGAGUGGCAAAAGUUCUUUGGAAUAGGACAUCAUAGAGGGUGAGAAUCCCGUAUUUGGUCAUUCCUCCUAGCGUUGUGAUACACUUUCAACGAGUCGGAUUGUUUGGGAAUGCAGUCCAAAAUGGGUGGUAAAUUUCAUCUAAAGCUAAAUAUUGGCGAGAGACCGAUAGCGAACAAGUACCGUGAGGGAAAGAUGAAAAGAACUUUGAAAAGAGAGUUAAACAGUACGUGAAAUUGUCAAAAGGGAAGCGUUUGACACCAGUGUUGUUUUUCCGAAAAUCAAUUACGAAUGUUUUGUUUUUAAGAAGUUAUGACUUCAUCGGCUUGCUUCUUUCUUUACGAAACUUUCUUAAUGCACUUUUCGGUUAACAAGUCAACAUCAAUUUCUUUUGUUGUAAAAGGGUAUGAGGAAGGUGGCUUUCUUUUCGGAGAAAGUGUUUAUAGCCUUGUGCCUCUGCAAUCGGAGAGAUUGAGGUCUGCAGCGUAGAUCCUUCGGGGUUAGAUACGUUUGUGCUAAGUUAUAGCUUUUCAUAGACAACUUGUUGACUAUGUUAAGUCAUUGUAGCUUACUCGCUGACGCUAUUUUACCUACGCUUAGGAUGUUGAUGUGAUACUGCGAGCA
rnacentral:rRNA from 1 species